GGAAGGAUCAUUAACGUGCUGUGAAGGUCUACCUUUAACCGGGUAUGAUCUUUCACAUGGCCAACCCUUGUUUAUUUUAACUGUUGCUUUGGUGGGCCUGCCCAUUAAAGGCUGCCGGGGGAUUUUAAAAUUUCCGGGCUCGUGCUCACCAAAGUCUUUGUUGAACUCUGGAUUGUUUUGGGCUAGUCUGAGCAUUAAAAUUUAAUUAUUUAAAACUUUCAACAACGGAUCUCUUGGUUCUGGCAUCGAUGAAGAACGCAGCGAAAUGCGAUAAGUAAUGUGAAUUGCAGAAUUCCGUGAAUCAUCGAAUCUUUGAACGCAUAUUGCGCCCUCUGGUAUUCCGGAGGGCAUGCCUGUCCGAGCGUCAUUAUCAUCCUUCAAGCACUUAAAGCUUGUGUUGAGCUAUUUUGUUCUUUAUUAAAAAUGAACAAGCUCGAAAUGCAGCGGCGAUGCCUAAGUUUGGUGCCCAAGCAUUAUAGGGCUUUGUCACAUGCUUUCGUGGCCCAGACUGGUAAUGUUCUGCCUUAAACUUUUAUUAUAAUUUAAUCAAGAUUGACCUCGGAUCAGGCAAGAAUACCCGCUGAACUUAAGCAUAUCAAUAAGCGGAGGAAAAGAAACCAACAGGGAUUGCCUUAGUAACGGCGAGUGAAGCGGCAAGAGCUCAAAUUUGAAAUCUGGUUUCCAUUUUUUGGAGCCCGAGUUGUAAUUUGCAGAGGAUGCUUUAGGUGUGGCGGCGGUCUAAGUUCCCUGGAAUGGGGCAUCAUAGAGGGUGAGAAUCCCGUAUGUGACCGCCUAGCAGCGCCUGUGUAAAGCUCCUUCGACGAGUCGAGUUGUUUGGGAAUGCAGCUCUAAAUGGGUGGUAAAUUUCAUCUAAAGCUAAAUAUUGGCCAGAGACCGAUAGCGCACAAGUAGAGUGAUCGAAAGAUGAAAAGCACUUUGAAAAGAGAGUUAAACAGCAUGUGAAAUUGUUGAAAGGGAAGCGCUUGCGACCAGACUCGGCCGCGGAGGCUCAGCCGCCAUGCUUUGGCGGUGCACUCCUUUGUGGUCGGGCCAGCGUCGGUUCCAACGGUUAGUUAAAGACUCUUGGAAUGUGUCGCCUUUCGGGGCGUCUUAUAGCUGAGGGUGUAAUGUGGCCUGUUGGGACCGAGGAAUGCGCCUUCGGGCUCGGACGCUGGCAUAAUGGUCGUAAGCGACCCGUCUUGAAACACGGACCAAGGAGUCUAACAUCCACGCGAGUGUUCGGGUGUCAAACCCGUCCGCGCAGUGAAAGCGAAUGGAGGUGGGAACUCUUUCGGGAGUGCACCAUCGACCGAUCCUGAUGUUUUCGGAUGGAUUUGAGUAAGAGCAUAGCUGUUGGGACCCGAAAGAUGGUGAACUAUGCGUGAAUAGGGUGAAGCCAGAGGAAACUCUGGUGGAGGCUCGCAGCGGUUCUGACGUGCAAAUCGAUCGUCAAAUUUGCGUAUAGGGGCGAAAGACUAAUCGAACCAUCUGGUAGCUGGUUCCUGC
rnacentral:misc_RNA from 1 species